AUUGAACGCUGGCGGAAUGCUUUACACAUGCAAGUCGAACGGCAGCACGGGGGCAGCCCUGGUGGCGAGUGGCGAACGGGUGAGUAAUACAUCGGAACGUGCCCGGUCGUGGGGGAUAACGUAGCGAAAGUUACGCUAAUACCGCAUACGAUCUGAGGAUGAAAGCGGGGGACCUUCGGGCCUCGCGCGAUCGGAGCGGCCGAUGUCAGAUUAGGUAGUUGGUGGGGUAAAGGCCUACCAAGCCGACGAUCUGUAGCUGGUCUGAGAGGACGACCAGCCACACUGGGACUGAGACACGGCCCAGACUCCUACGGGAGGCAGCAGUGGGGAAUUUUGGACAAUGGGCGCAAGCCUGAUCCAGCCAUUCCGCGUGCAGGACGAAGGCCUUCGGGUCGUAAACUGCUUCUGUACGGAACGAAAAGGCUCUGGCUAAUACCUGGGGCUCAUGACGGUACCGUAAGAAUAAGCACCGGCUAACUACGUG
rnacentral:rRNA from 1 species